GACGAACGCUGGCGGCGUGCCUAAUACAUGCAAGUCGAACGCAAUGGGAACGAGUGAGUAACACGUGGGUAACCUCCCAUCAGGAGGGGAUAACACUGUGAAACAGAUGCUAAACCGCAACUGCUGGAUGGAGCCUCGGUGCAUGAGCAAGUGGGCGGGGUAACGGCCCACCAAGGCCACGAGGCAUAGCCGACCUGAGAGGGUGAUCGGCGACACUGGGACUGAGACACGGCCCAGACUCCUACGGGAGGCAGCAGUAGGGAAGCUUCGGCAAUGGACGAAAGUCUGACCGAGCAACGCCGCGUGAGUGAAGAAGGUUUUCGGAUCGUAAAACUCUGUUGUUAGAGAAGCGGUAUCUAACCAGAAAGCCACGGCUAACUACGUGCCAGCAGCCGCGGUAAUUC
rnacentral:rRNA from 1 species